rnacentral:rRNA from 1 species
GAUGAACGCUGGCGGCGUGCCUAAUACAUGCAAGUCGAGCGAACAGACGAGGAGCUUGCUCCUCUGACGUUAGCGGCGGACGGGUGAGUAACACGUGGAUAACCUACCUAUAAGACUGGGAUAACUUCGGGAAACCGGAGCUAAUACCGGAUAAUAUAUUGAACCGCAUGGUUCAAUAGUGAAAGACGGUUUUGCUGUCACUUAUAGAUGGAUCCGCGCCGCAUUAGCUAGUUGGUAAGGUAACGGCUUACCAAGGCGACGCUGCGUAGCCGACCUGAGAGGGUGGUAGGCCACACGAGAACUGAGACACGGUCCAGACUCCUACGGGAGGCAGCAGUAGGGAAUCUUCCGCAAUGGGCGAAAGCCUGACGGAGCAACGCCGCGUGAGUGAUGAAGGUCUUCGGAUCGUAAAACUCUGUUAUUAGGGAAGAACAAAUGUGUAAGUAACUAUGCACGGCUUGACGGUACCUAAUCAGAAAGCCACGGCUAACUACGUG